UACGGGGGGGGCAAGCGUUGUUCGGAAUUACUGGGCGUAAAGGGCUCGUAGGCGGCCAACUAAGUCAGACGUGAAAUCCCUCGGCUUAACCGGGGAACUGCAUCUGAUACUGGAUGGCUUGAGUUCGGGAGAGGGAUGCGGAAUUCCUGGUGUAGCGGUGAAAUGCGUAGAUAUCAGGAGGAACACCGGUGGUGUAAACGGCUUUCUGGACCAUAACUGACGCUGAGGCACGAAAGCGUGGGUAGCAAACAGG
rnacentral:rRNA from 1 species